AUUUCCGAUCAUUGCCCGCUGCUCCUUCGCAAUGACGCAGUGCUGAAAACCAAUAGGAGGUUUAGGUUUGAGUCCUACUGGCUUUUUGUAAAUGGGUUCAAGGAUCUAGUGGCUCAGUCCUGGGCUGAGUCGGCUGGGGGGAGAUGCCCUAUCGCUGCGCUCAAUGUUAAACUAUGGCGACUUAGCAAAGCUCUUCGGACUUGGAGCAAGUCAAUUGUUGGGGAUAUCCAGAAGCAGAUGCAUAUUGUUAAUGAGAUUAACUUGCAGCUUGACAUGGCUCAGGAUCACAGGCAGCUAUCUGCUGAGGAGAGCAGUCUUCGAGCCGAGCUCAAGUCUCGCUCCCUCGGGCUUGCAGUGCUGCUCAAAGUAAAGCUCCGUCAGAGAAGCAGAGUGUUAUGGCUAAGGGCAGGAGAUGCUAAUACUCACUUUUUCCAGCGCAAAGCGAACGCCAGGCGCAAUAGAAACACAAUUCACAUUCUGCAUGGGCCAAACGGCGUUGUUACAGAUUGCGUGGCUAUGUCCGAGCUGGCCCGUCAGCACUUCAUGUGCAUUUUUGGUGCCACGCAAAACAUCUCCUCUGGCCUGGACUGGGAGGAGCUAGGCCUGAGUCAGGUCGACCUGUCGGAUAUUGAAGGGGAAUUCACGCUUGAUGAGAUUAAGCUGGCCUUAGACGACAUGCCGUCAGAAAAGGCACCAGGCCCGGAUGGAUUCUCUGGGGGCUUCUACAAGCACUGUUGGGACAUUGUUAAGCUUGAUGUUCUCGCAGCUCUAAACCAACUGCACAGAAUGGAUAGUAGGGGCUUA
rnacentral:rRNA from 1 species